rnacentral:pre_miRNA from 1 species
UUUUUAGUGUAAGUAUGUUUCAUGCAAUAUCUGGGACAUACUUAACACUAAAA